CUCAGAGUCUCCCAUGGCCCCAUCUAGCUUUCUUCUUCGUUGUCUUCUUUUACAGAGGUAAUGAUCAUCUCUCUACUAUUUACUUUUAUUAUUAUUAUAGAUUAUUGGAGUUCAAGGAUGUGUAUUUCUAGCUCAGUUAGUGGGUGGCUACUACUCCAGUUAAACUUGGAGAAAGAAAUAAGGAGAUCAUUUCCUGACAAUCUGAGAGUUUCCAAAUUGGGUAGGAGGAAAAUGUUCUCCAUGCAAGUUAGUGAAUUCAAGAUCUAGAUAUCUCAAAAAAAGGAUACAUUCACGGGUUGCAGAUGUCAGAAUACGACUGCUGCACAUCUUCAGAUUUUCACCCUUAUGGAUCCUUGAAACACGGACUUUAGUGGCUAUAUUCAAGAUAUGAGAUGUAAGGUGUAAUGCUACUUCCUUUUAAGAAAAUAAUUAUUUCUCAGCAAUGAGUAGGGGUGGCAAACGGGCGGGUCGAGUCAGAUAUUUGCGGGUCAAAAACAGAAAUUUGCAGGGAUGAGAGGGGUUUAUCGAAUUGGUUUCUCCUUAACACUUUGACGGCUCUUUAAUUGCAUCUAAAUUAUCAAAGGGAUCCUUGGAGCAACGAUAAAGUUGUCUUCGUGUGACCUAUAGGUCACGGGUUUGAGUCGUAAAAUUAGUCACUAGUCUUGCAUCAGGAUAGACUGCCUACAUUACACAUUCCUUCUCCGAAUCUUGCGUAAACAUGGGAUGCCUUGUACACCUGGUUGUCCUUAAUUAGAUACCAAAUGUUACUACUUUUUAUUUUUUGCCAAGAGAUAUAUGUUAGCCUCAGUUGAAAAGGAAAUGACUGCUUAUGGUAAUAGGACCUCUAUAUUCUGCUAAAGUUCUGAUAUUGUUCUGAUGUUAACCUUUUAACUUUAGAUGCUGAGAAUUUGUAUCUUCGUGUCAGAUAAGAAGACAUGACUUAUUUUUGGUUUUAUUAGAAAAAAAAAACUGGGACAUGACUUAUUCUACGGGAAGAACCUCUAUUUCUUCCCAAGUUGUGAGAAUUUUCUAAUUCCUUAUAUUUUGGCAUAGACUCAGUUGGAAAUUGGAAAAAAUUCUACAUUUUUUUUUCGUGUAGAAUCUGAUGUUACGUUGAUACAUCUUGAGCUAGGUCUCAUUGUGGUAAUUUAUUUCAAGUGUACCUUCAGUAUGGAGAUUCUAUUAAUCGAUCAUGUUUUGCAAACUAUGUUAGGUUUCUCAUAAACCGCUCAAAAAAGUGCAACACAAAAAGGGGUAAAAACGUUAUCAAUUUUUCAUGAAUUAUACAUAUUGUUCCAAUAGCAGGAAAAUCACCUUCUACUUAUGUAAUGUUCUUCCCCUACGUGAACUACAUUUUAUCUCCUCUCAGAAUGACUUCAAAAUAAAUUACUUUCAAGAGCAGUAUGUAAAAUGACAAACACAUUAACCAUUAUGUUUGGCCAUCAUCUGUAAAUGGUUGCUUAGAAGACAAAUGUAAGGAGAUAAAAAAACGAGUUGCUAAUUUCUUUUCUUUUUUUGGAAUAUCAAGUGUUUUGGGAAGUGCAAGAUAUGUAGGGAGCACUGCUAUUUCUAAGUGCUGCUUUAUUCUUGGAGUGUUGACCUUUCUUUAGUCUUUUCUAGUUCUUUAAACUGUAUCUAUGAAAUUAUUGAUAAACUUCGACUAAUGACUAUUUCUAUUUACGUUAUAUUUGUUUCAUGUUUCAUAUAUAUAUUUUUUCCAACACAAUGUAUGUUCUUGCAUUGAUAUACACUGUAUGGGAGCAUUCAUACAUCUCUAACUGUGGUGAGAAGCCCUUCUGCAAUAGAAUUAGUGUAUUAAAAGAAGAAUAUUAUUUCUACCGGAUGGCCAAAUAAUAUCCUUAUCAACUGUUUUAGUGGCUUAAAUACGUGGUCAUUGAUGCGUUUAAUAUUGGCGUGCAGGUUAAAUGGGAUGGAGUAGGACAUGAGCUUUGUCUCUUAUUAGCUCUGAGUGUUGUCUCUUUAUCGGCGCACAUUUCCUCAAAGAAAUCUCAUAUUUGUUGAAGUUCAAUUCUUGAAGAUAAAUGUUGUAUCUCUCGUAAUUCUCCUAUAAGUAAAGAUAGAUAUUUGCUUGUUCGCAUUUGAUGAUAAACCGUUUCAAGUAUUCUGUGACUUGAUCUUUUGUUCACUUUAAUCUUUUUCACGAUGGAGAGUCAGUUCUAACAAUCCAAUGUCAUUUCUAUGUGUUGUACUACUUUAUCAUAUCUGAAUUUACAUAGCUACAUUAUAGCUUUAUUAGUAAUGUAUCAAAAUUUGCAUAGCACUCAUCUAAUACUAUAUAGAAGCCGCUUGGAAGUAGGCCAGGGUCGUCAUGCCUGCUUUCCAAGGGCUACUUUAGUCUUUUUGUAAAUUUUGCUAACAACUAAUGCGCGUAGGGUAACUUUGACGGGUGGUGCGAUAUAGUGACUCUCACUGCCAGUGACUAAUCCCUCCCUCUGCUCAUCCUCUUUCUCUGCUUCAUCUUCAGAUUUCUUUCUAUCUCACAGCAAUUAAUCUGCUUCCAUUUCCCUCUGCUCAUCCUCUUUCUGUCUCUGCUUCAUCUUCAGAUUUAUUUUUAUCUCAACUUCACCGAUUUUGCUGUCACUUUCGACAUCAUCGGUUAAUCGAAGGUCUUUGCAUAGGAAACCUGGUUCACUGACUUUCCUCCCAAGGUUUUAUCACCAAUACAACAUCAAACGUUUUCGGAAUAGCCGAGGAAAUAGUUGCGGAGAUUUUAAGGUUGAGCUCAACUUCUAUGAUGCUGACAGCUCAUCAACUGCAUCUCUCAUCUCUUGUUCAGACCCAAUGUGUUCUUCGACUGAGUGCUGGCUAUUACGUGUCAGAUUUAUUUUAUUUUGACACAGUCCUCGCGACCUCAGUGAUUGUCAACUCUUCAACACAAAAAUCCAACUGAAAUUAUCUACCUAUUUCAAUUAUAUGAUGUUAAAAGCUAUAUUGUGGUAAUAAACAACAAAUGUAUGUUCCAGCAGAAUAUCCAAAAAGCUUGAAAACCACUAGACAAUAAUAAUGACAGAAACACGAAUUGUAAGUAUCAAUUCCAACAAAAAAUAAGUAAUUUUCUUCUCUCU